GUGCUUGCUUUGGCAGCAUGUAUACAAAACUUGGAAUGAUACAGAGAACAUUAGCAUGGCCCCUGCACAAGGAUGGCGAGCAAAUUCAUCAAGUGUUCAGUAUUUUU